CGGGGCCCCUGCCAGCCUAACGCCCGGCCUCCUGGGCCGCCCUGCGUCCUAGUGGAGAAGCCGCUUCUAGAGGGAAAACUCGCCCCCUCACCCUGCUGCCUUCCCUCCAGGAGGUGUGAGUCUGCUGCUGCUCCCCACAUGCCGCAGUUCAGGGGUCUUUCUCACGUGCCUAUUCCUGAGGAGGGCGUUUUUCUCUCCUGGUCUCCAAUCACCAAAGCUACAGGCCUGAAGGUCCAAAUAGAUUCAUGAAUUUUAACUCCGUCUCUAGCCUGCAUCUGUUUCAGUGGACUUCCAUCUGGCUGACUGACAUAUCCAGGCAUUGGCUGCUGACUUCGGUCUGUGAGACACGGACCUGCUGAAGGCUUAUGGUGGACCAGUCCAGCAAAAUGUAAUUAUUUUCUUCCUCUACAAUAAAUUCCUCUAUGAUAAAUAC